rnacentral:ncRNA from 1 species
AUGACGAAGUGGUUGAUGCCAUGCUUCCGAAAAGCUUCUAAGCUUNNNNNNNNNNNNNNNNNNNNNNNNNNNNNNNNNNNNNNNNNNNNNNNNNNGGAGGGUGCAAGCGUUAAUCGGAAUUACUGGGCGUAAAGCGCACGCAGGCGGUCUGUCAAGUCGGAUGUGAAAUCCCCGGGCUCAACCUGGGAACUGCAUUCGAAACUGGCAGGCUAGAGUCUUGUAGAGGGGGGUAGAAUUCCAGGUGUAGCGGUGAAAUGCGUAGAGAUCUGGAGGAAUACCGGUGGCGAAGGCGGCCCCCUGGACAAAGACUGACGCUCAGGUGCGAAAGCGUGGGGAGCAAACAGGAUUAGAUACCCUGGUAGUCCACGCCGUAAACGAUGUCGACUUGGAGGUUGUGCCCUUGAGGCGUGGCUUCCGGAGCUAACGCGUUAAGUCGACCGCCUGGGGAGUACGGCCGCAAGGUUAAAACUCAAAUGAAUUGACGGGGGCCCGCACAAGCGGUGGAGCAUGUGGUUUAAUUCGAUGCAACGCGAAGAACCUUACCUACUCUUGACAUCCAGAGAACUUAGCAGAGAUGCUUUGGUGCCUUCGGGAACUCUGAGACAGGUGCUGCAUGGCUGUCGUCAGCUCGUGUUGUGAAAUGUUGGGUUAAGUCCCGCAACGAGCGCAACCCUUAUCCUUUGUUGCCAGCGGUCCGGCCGGGAACUCAAAGGAGACUGCCAGUGAUAAACUGGAGGAAGGUGGGGAUGACGUCAAGUCAUCAUGGCCCUUACGAGUAGGGCUACACACGUGCUACAAUGGCGCAUACAAAGAGAAGCGACCUCGCGAGAGCAAGCGGACCUCAUAAAGUGCGUCGUAGUCCGGAUUGGAGUCUGCAACUCGACUCCAUGAAGUCGGAAUCGCUAGUAAUCGUAGAUCAGAAUGCUACGGUGAAUACGUUCCCGGGCCUUGUACACACCGCCCGUCACACCAUGGGAGUGGGUUGCAAAAGAAGUAGGUAGCUUAACCUUCGGGAGGGCGCUUACCACUUUGUGAUUCAUGACUGGGGUGAAGUCGUAACAAGGUAACCGUAGGGGAACCUGCGGUUGGAUCACCUCCUUA